rnacentral:rRNA from 1 species
CCUACGGGAGGCAGCAGUGGGGAAUCUUAGACAAUGGGGGCAACCCUGAUCUAGCCAUGCCGCGUGAGUGAUGAAGGCCUUAGGGUCGUAAAGCUCUUUCGCCUGUGAUGAUAAUGACAGUAGCAGGUAAAGAAACCCCGGCUAACUCCGUGCCAGCAGCCGCGGUAAUACGGAGGGGGUUAGCGUUGUUCGGAAUUACUGGGCGUAAAGCGCGCGUAGGCGGAUUAGAAAGUUGGGGGUGAAAUCCCGGGGCUCAACCCCGGAACUGCCUCCAAAACUGCUAGUCUAGAGUUCGAGAGAGGUGAGUGGAAUUCCGAGUGUAGAGGUGAAAUUCGUAGAUAUUCGGAGGAACACCAGUGGCGAAGGCGGCUCACUGGCUCGAUACUGACGCUGAGGUGCGAAAGUGUGGGGAGCAAACAGGAUUAGAUACCCUGGUAGUCCACACCGUAAACGAUGAAUGCCAGUCGUCGGAUAGUAUACUAUUCGGUGACACACCUAACGGAUUAAGCAUUCCGCCUGGGGAGUACGGUCGCAAGAUUAAAACUCAAAUGAAUGACG